UCUGGUGAUUACGCGUGGUGGAACCACCCGUUCCCAUCCCGAACACGGAAGUGAAACGCUGCAAGCUCCGAUGGUAGUGCAUCUAUAGGGUGUGUGAGAGUAGGACGUUGCCAGAU
rfam:Candidatus Xiphinematobacter sp. Idaho Grape, complete genome.